rnacentral:rRNA from 1 species
GACGAACGCUGGCGGCGUGCUUAACACAUGCAAGUCGAACGGAAAGGCCCGGCGCUUGUGGUGCGCUCGAGUGGCGAACGGGUGAGAAACACGCGUGUAACCCGUCCCUGACUUUGGGAUAAAUUCUGGAAACUGGGGCUAUAAACCGAUAGGAGCUCCUGCUGCACGGUGGGGGUUGGAAAGUUUCGGCGGUUGGGGAUGGACUCGCGGCUUAUCAGCUUGUUGGUGGGGUAGUGGAUGACAAAGGCUACGACGGGUAGCCGGCCUGAGAGGUGGAACGGCCACAUUAGUACUGAGAGAGGGCCCAGUAUGCAACGUGAGGCAGUAGUGGGAAGUAUUACGCAAUGGGCGGAAGCCUGAUGCAGCGGCGCCGCGUGCGUGAUAACGUCCUUCGGGUUAUAAACCGCUUUCGACUGUAACGAAGCGUGAGUGACGGUAAUGGGUCAAAAAGCACCGGCUAACUACGUG